ACCUGGCUGGCUUAGUUGGUAGAGCAUGUGACUCUUGAUCUCAGGGUCAUGAGUUCAAGCCCCAUGUUGGGCA
rnacentral:tRNA from 1 species